rnacentral:snoRNA from 1 species
GCCAAUGAUGGAAAAAUAAGAGACUGUCUGAAAUGCAGUUGUUUUGGUUAGCUGCAUAAAUUUGUUGAAAUUUCAUGAACUAGGACGGUCUGAGGC